UCAUUCAACCUGCAGCUGCUUGUGUUCGUCCUCGGGAGAAAACUGUGGUAGAAUCAGCAGUCGCUGCUCUGGUUCUGCUGCAUCUGCUCUUUAAUUCUGUCCAGCACCUCCUGCAUCCUCCUGAGCUACAGAGGAGGAAGACGUUCAGAGAGCAGCGCGUCCCCGAGGCCUGGCGUGUCAACGAUGGUGAGCCUCAGUUUGAUUCCCUUCUCUUCAAUGCUGACGCUGUGUCUGAUGAUGUCGACUGUUUGACCGAUCCUUUCUGCAGAAGGAGCACGACUGAAAGGCAGGAGGAAGAUCUCUCAUGGCAAAAGGGAACUGAGUGUCUUCUUGGUCUUCGAUGGACAGACUUGACCCCUGGAAGAGGACACUGCUCAGAAGAACAAUUCACAAGAACAACACUGAAGAGAUUGAAAAGUAGUUGAAUUAUGAUGGCAUUUCAAGGCUGAUACUGAAGGAGAAAACAUAGAUAAGAUGAGGAAAUUAGACAGUUAGGUCAGUGGUUCGUGUGUGUACUGUCAGAAGUCUGACAGUUUUACUCAGUUGGUCUAAAAACUAUAAUAAAUUUAAUGCAAUUAUUUGUCUUUGGUCAUCUGACAGUGACAUGCAGAACAAUUAAAUAGCCAUCCGCUAGGUGGCAGCAAAUGGUAAUUAAAACCAUAAGAGACUGAGGGCUGUUGAAGAUCUUAAUGAAUGUUUUUCUUGACCUCACAUGUAUGCUGUAUGUGUUUUGGUCAGAGGGAAUCAAACCUUCACACUUUCAUCUACUGUAAAGAUUCACGGUGUCCUCAUACUACACUGUGAGUCUACAUGCACAAUAGUACAGCCUGUAGUCAUGUAGCUGCAGGAGGCACUGACACUGUUUGGAAUCCCUGUCCCUGUCAGGUCACAUUACCCAUAAGGCUUUGCAGUAGGUUUUAUCCAGCUUAUUAAGUUAAGGAGGGGUAGGACGGUGGAGAUUAAAGUCUUAAACACACACAAAGACACACACAAACAAUACUUGAUAUUUAUAUUUUAUAAACGUGCCGUACCUCCUUAUCUGAAAAAGUUGCAGCUUUGCCAAGGAUGGUGUAAAAAAAAAAAUAUGGAAGAAACAAUUGUUAAUAAAUAGAUCCGUGCAGACUUUUAUAAGCUGAAAAAAAUAGAGCUUGAACCUUUAAACAACCCCUUCCUUAAAAGCUAACCUAAUAAAUAUAAAAGACAAAAGGUGUACCAUUUCUUAGAAGAUAUAUGAUCCUAAAAUGACUGAGUAAAGAUUAGAAAUGAUUUAUAACUCUUAAAGCAUCACUGAAGCAAGCGUUCAAUGUUGUGUCUUCAUGAAAGCAGGUGCUCAGGGUUCACGACGUACCAGUUUUGUUGCUGUUGCGGAACCGGACCGGGGUGGACAUGUGCUCCAUGGCUUCUUAGAAUCUCCACGAACCAAAACAGCAGUCAAUGAGAAACACUGUCACUCUGUCAGUACUUUACUGGGAUAGAGCUUCAUAGAUGGACGUAAAAACUACAAUGAGCCAUAUGGCGUGGUGUGUCAGUCCAUGCUGAUCCCUUCAUACAGCACACAGACAGCAGCUACACAUGGAUUUAUACAGGAGCCUGAGCCUGCAGGAAACCAGACCAGGAUUGUAUGGCUGUAGGAAAUAAAAUAUCACAUGUGACAUGGUUAUUAUUUAAAUCAUUUGGUCUACUUUUUGGUCUUUAUUUUGUUGUCAAAACUGUAAAACGUAAAAAACAUUAUAUAAAAUUAUAUUUAAUUCUGUUAACUAAAGGAUUAUACUUAUAUAGUUAUUUUUCUUUAAAAUUACACCCAGCAAAGACAUGGCUUCUCUCUGUUCAUUUUCCUCCGAGCAAGUAUCGGAUAUCAACUGUUACUGACACCUACUGGUGAGACUGCAAGUUACAAUCACGUGUUACCGCGUUUACACGUCUAUUUCUCAAUUAAGUUAAUUGAAUUAACCGCUGAGUAACUGGAGGAGAACACACACGUGUGCAGGCGUACCGUUUGUCAGCGUCCAUGUCACAGCAGAGCGCAGCCAGUGGCAGGAAGGUGGAGGGACAUUGUGGUCUGUGGUACUGCUGCAUAAAACUAACCACAUCUAACCCAAAGUCAUUCGUGCGAGGUUAUGUUUUCCUGAGCCCUCGUGCACUCACCACGGAUCAUCUCUGGGGCCAUCCAGUAUGGGUUCCCUACCACAGUGUAGCGCUUCCUCCUGUUCGGCCUGUGCAGCUCCGACAGCGGCCUCUUCACAGGCUGCUCCAGUGACGAUGUCUUGCUCUGAGUCUUCUCCUCCAUCACCAGCCUGGCCAGUCCAAAAUCUGCCACCACCACUGACUGGUUCUAUAAAAACAAACAGGCCUUGGAUGCGAUGCUAAGACUUACCUCGUCUGGAGGAAUGUUAUAAACUGGAACACCAUUGACCUCCAGUACUCGAUCGCCAGUGUGGAUGGAGGACAGCAGGUCUGGACUGAGGACGGCCAUGUCCAACCUUAG